rnacentral:rRNA from 1 species
GAUGAACGCUGGCUACAGGCUUAACACAUGCAAGUCGAGGGGAAACGACGGGGAAGCUUGCUUCCCCGGGCGUCGACCGGCGCACGGGUGAGUAACGCGUAUCCAACCUGCCUCUGACUGAGGGAUAACCCGUCGAAAGUCGGCCUAAUACCUCAUGGUAUCGUCUGCGGGCAUCCAACGACGAUUAAAGAUUUCAUCGGUCAGGGAUGGGGAUGCGUCUGAUUAGCUUGUUGGCGGGGUAACGGCCCACCAAGGCUACGAUCAGUAGGGGUUCUGAGAGGAAGGUCCCCCACAUUGGAACUGAGACACGGUCCAAACUCCUACGGGAGGCAGCAGUGAGGAAUAUUGGUCAAUGGGCGAGAGCCUGAACCAGCCAAGUAGCGUGCAGGAAGACGGCCCUAUGGGUGGUAAACUGCUUUUAGGCGGGGAUAAAGUGAGGGACGGGUCCCUCAUUGCAGGUACCGCAUGAAUAAGGACCGGCUAAUUCCGUG